rnacentral:rRNA from 1 species
CGGCGAGUGAAGCGGCAACAGCUCAAAUUUGAAAUCUGGCCUCGGCCCGAGUUGUAAUUUGCAGAGGAUGCUUCUGGCGCGGUGCCUUCCGAGUUCCCUGGAACGGGACGCCACAGAGGGUGAGAGCCCCGUAUGGUCGGACACCAAGCCUGUGUGAAGCUCCUUCGACGAGUCGAGUAGUUUGGGAAUGCUGCUCUAAAUGGGAGGUAAAUCUCUUCUAAAGCUAAAUACCGGCCAGAGACCGAUAGCGCACAAGUAGAGUGAUCGAAAGAUGAAAAGCACCUUGAAAAGGGGGUUAAAUAGUACGUGAAAUUGUUGAAAGGGAAGCACUUAUGACCAGACUUGGGCCGGGCGGCUCAUCAGGGGUUCUCCCCUGUGCACUCCGCCCGGCACAGGCCAGCAUCGGUUCUCGUGGGGGGAUAAGACCGUCAGGAACGUAGCACCCUCCGGGGUGUGUUAUAGCCUGGCGGACGAUACCCCCGUGGGGACCGAGGUCCGCGCUCCGCAAGGAUGCUGGCGUAAUGGUCAUCAGU